GUCAGAAAAGAAGGUUUUACACACAGAGUAUAUGGCGAUAUGGUAACGUUUUGUAUUAAAUUCCAUGUUUUCCCGCCAUGACAGUAUACAAGAACUGCCAGGCGCUCCCCAGCACGCUUCCUUCCCAAAAGCCCCCUUCGCGCGUCGCCUGCCUACCUGAAUACUUCAUGUAUUGUAAUUAUUUAAAGCGCCUGGGUACAAGGCAGCUCCGCCCUUUGGGCGUUGUGUUUCCACACAAUUUCUCGUUUUCCCAACUUCCGUUCGUGUUGAUAUAACUGUAUAUCAACACGGAAAAUGUUUUAUAUUUGUUAAAUAUCAAAGCUAACUCAAAUUCUGCAUGGCCUAACAUUUUUACUAAAUAUAUGUAAUUAUAUAUUCAAUUAUAUAUUUGCAUAUCAAUACUGACUAUCAAUUUAUUACACUUUGAGUUCAAAAUGAGAGUUAAGUAUUUUUGAACCAUCGGAUGAAGUGGUCGUCUUCACCACAAUCUUCUUGAUAUUCACUUUACAUUCACACUCCGCGGCAGGACUGGUGAAAAAACACAAGGUGUAAAGCGCUAGCUCAAACUCUGGAGAUGUCCCAAUUAGCAUAUUAUCGGUCACUGGCACUCCUCGAUUCCACGAAAACAUCAUUGAGACAACUUUUGGCUGAAAACAACACGCAACUUAUGAAGACAACAUUAUUAUGAUUUCGUGAAAACAUGAGAUCCUCAUGCACAUGCACGCAGUGGGAUGGAUAGAACUAAGUUUCAAAGCAUUACUGGCGAGCUUAGGCAGGUAUAGGACGGGAACGCAACGGCAAACAAGCAAAUGAUUGCAGAAGAAAACCUGUCAU